ACAACAUUCGGACCGUCGGUAUACUGAACAAUUUCAUACGCUCGGUGGAAGAUCUUCUUAUUAUCAA
rnacentral:pre_miRNA from 1 species